rnacentral:rRNA from 1 species
GUGUCAGCAGCCGCGGUAAUACGGAGGGUGCAAGCGUUAUCCGGAUUCACUGGGUUUAAAGGGUGCGUAGGCGGGCUUGUAAGUCAGUGGUGAAAGCCCGGGGCUUAACUCCGGAACUGCCGUUGAUACUGCAAGCCUUGAGUACAGUUGAGGUGGGCGGAAUACAUCAUGUAGAGGUGAAAUUCUUAGAUAUGAUGUAGAACACCGAUUGCGAAGGCAGCUCACUAAAGUGUAACUGACGCUGAGGCACGAAAGCGUGGGGAUCAAACAGGAUUAGAAACCCGGGUAGUCC